rnacentral:rRNA from 1 species
CCCUUAGAUGUUCUGGGCCGCACGCGCGCUACACUGAUGCAUUCAACAAGCCUAGCCUUGACCGAGAGGUCCGGGUAAUCUUUGAAACUGCAUCGUGAUGGGGCUAGAUUAUUGCAAUUAUUAAUCUUCAACGAGGAAUGCCUAGUAAGCGUGAUUCAUCAAAUCGCGUUGAUUACGUCCCUGCCCUUUGUACACACCGCCCGUCGUUCCUACCGAUUGAAUGUGUUGGUGAGGAGCUCGGAUUGGCAGCAGUUGGUGGUUCGCCACCGGCUAUUGCUGAGAAGUCCUCCAAACCGCCCCAUUUAGAGGAAGGAGAAGUCGUANCA